UACGGAGGGUGCUAGCGUUGUUCGGAAUCACUGGGCGUAAAGCGCGUGUAGGCGGUCUGCUAAGUCUGAUGUGAAAGCCCGGGGCUCACCCCCGGAAGUGCAUUGGAAACUGGCAGACUGGAGCCCCGGAGAGGAGGGUGGAAUUCCUGGUGUAGCGGUGAAAUGCGUAGAUAUCAGGAGGAACACCGGUGGCGAAGGCGGCCCUCUGGACGGUGACUGACGCUGAGACGCGAAAGCGUGGGGAGCAAACAGG
rnacentral:rRNA from 1 species